rnacentral:piRNA from 1 species
GGUUGAUGGUAUGUCUAGCCGCC